UUCGAGUUGAAAUAGGUGGUAGAGUCGUCUUCUCAACUCGCCGUUUUAGUUCGCUACUCAGCGAAAGGUAAUUCUUUCUUCUUCUAAAUAUAUAUAUUUUUAUUUCAUUGUGUGACAGGAUUAGAUUAGUUUAUUGUAUUUGCUAGAAAUUUGGUUUUUCUUUCCAAUAUCUUAGUAAUUAGUAAAAUAGCUAAUUUUCUUGUUUGUCAUUGAUACUGUUUAACUAAGUCGUUUAAGCUGAUAUCCUUUUUUUUUUAGUCUCAAAUGUCCAGUUCUUUGUUUAUGUUUUCUGUUUACCAUUAAAUUCAUAUUUGUUGAAAAGAGGAUGGUUGCUAGUAUUACUUAAUUCUUGUUUAUGUGAGAUAGCCCUUAUGUUUAGCUUAUCUUGUAUGUUAAAUUGGUCGAUUUGUUUUAGUCAAUAUUCAUAUAAGCAGUAGCUUAGAAUUUCAUUAUGAUAAAUACUUUGAGUUAUAUAUGAUUAGAAUGCAUCUUGUUUACACCUGAUCUUAAUGAUUCUUGUCUCCUGUUCUUUAGCCUUUUCGGUGACCUUGUAGUUCCAUGCUUAGCUUUCUUUAUCACUCAUGUGUCCUAUAUCAAGAAUGCUAUCUGAAAUAUGGAGUUUAGUUUUAUUAGUUUUAAGGUUUUUUUUUUCCCUCUUUGAAACCUGUAUUCGUUGCUGAAAUGCCAUCUAUGUCUGCCUAUUUUGUAAAAUCUGUUGGUGUGAUUUGUCAAAUAACAGACCAUUGGCUCUCAAUGCCAAUCGAGAGCCUAUUUGAGUGAGAAAUUGCUUACCUUUGGGGUUUCUCUUUAGCACUCUCCAAAGAUUUAGGUUGGGAUGGAUGAAAGCUCAUAUCAUAGCUUUUAUACGUCCUAAAAUUUAUUAGAUUACUCUACUUAGAUCCUUGUUUAAAUUCUCUAAGUUAUUUUGGUGCAAAGUUAUUUUAUAUCUCCCUGCUCUUUCUUGUUUGUCUUUUGUAUAUGCUAAAUGAGUUGGCUUAAAACUUUGAUCAAGUUGAGUCUAAAGUUGUUUAUCUUUAAACUAUACUUGAAACUGUUUCGAACUCCUUUUUAGUUUGAUCAAAGGUUGUGUUUAAGUAGGAGUAGGAAACCUCUGUUUAGUUGUUGUCAUAUUUAAGUUGUGGCUGCCUAUUGUUGUUAAUUGCCUCCAUCUUGGACAUGUUAUUUUAUACACUGAUUGUGAAUUGCUUAUGAAAUUAUGUGGCGUUCAAAUAAUUUUGACAUUAUUAUAAAUAUGUUCUCAUGUUCAUUUACUGAUUUUAGGUGCAAAUAUACCAGUCUUUUCUUUACUGUUUGUAGUUAAUCUAACCUCAACUGCCGUAAAUCUUCAAGUGCUACCCUCGAAUGCCCUUAGAUGUUCUUUGCUGUAAUUCUGGUUCAAUAACUCUAGAUAGAGUUCUGCUUGCUUUUGGUAGCUUGUUUUUUCUUCAUUGUUGUGUUUGAAUAUGGCUAUCUGUGUCAUGUCUUAAAUUAAUUCAUGUUGACAUUAGCUUGUUUCCUUAAGCAGUAAGUCCAUAUUUACUUGAUAUAGUUCUUUUCUCUAAUUUAUAUUUGCUUUAUCUUUGUUUUUCUGUGAUUGAUAGUAGUAUAUGGUUAAGUUUGGUAUAAUUUCAGCCAUGAUAAACAUGUCAUUUAGAGUUUUGAGCUUACACGACAUUGUUUGUUUUAAGCUUAAGUUGAUAUCAUCCAAAUGUUGUUAAUCUUUUUCCCUCUUUUUCUUGGCAUGAACUCUCUCGUUUGAGUCCAAUUGGACUCCUCCUCUUGCAUACUCCUCUCCUCGAGUCAACCUCCUUUAAGCCAAUUGAAAGGAGGUUAAUAUUACUAGGAUAAAACCCAAGAGCUAGCCACUACAGCAGCCUUGAAAGGCCGAGAAACGAGAAGCGAAAAUUGGGUUAAAAACCCAAAGUCAGAGGCAGCAACAUUGGCUCAAAAGAGCUGAAAUGAGAGUGUUUUGGGUUCAAAUUGGCCGAAAUUUGAACACCUGAUUCUUGCAGCAGUUUCAGUAGUCUCAAAAGGCUAGAAAUAGCAUUUUUCGGACUUAAAAAAGUUCGGAAAUAGCACCAGCAGCAGCAAAUAAGAAGCAACAAGUGGACUUAAAAUUGUCCAAGUUCUAUUCGCCCUUUCAUUUUCCUUAUAUUGUGAUAAUUGCUUUUAAUUUCUAACAUUUAUUUUGUUAUUUUAGAUGAAUCCUUUGGAGAGAUAUUUUUAUUUUGUUAUUCAAGUUUUCAAAUCCCAAAACCCAUUUUAAGUUAGGUAAUUUAAGCUUAUAGAAUAACUUAAGAACUUUUUUAUGUUCUUUCGUAGUUAUUGAAAAGCUUUGAAUCCA
rnacentral:lncRNA from 1 species